CGCGACCCCAGGUCAGGCGGGACUACCCGCUGAGUUUAAGCAUAUAAAUAA
rnacentral:rRNA from 6 species